rnacentral:rRNA from 1 species
AGAACGAACGUUGGCGGCGUGGAUGAGGCAUGCAAGUCGCGGGAAUCCCCAGCAAUGGGGGGAACCGGCGUAAGGGGCAGUAAGGCGUAGGUACCUACCCCCAGGUCCGGGAUAGCCCGCCGAGAGGCGGGGUAAUACCGGAUGACCUCGGGAGAGCAAAGCUCCGGCGCCUGAGGCGGGGCCUACGUGAUAUUACCUAGUUGGCGGGGUAACGGCCCACCAAGGGGGAGAUGUCUAGCGGGUGUGAGAGCACGACCCGCGCCACUCGCACUGAGACACUGGCGAGACACCUACGGGUGGCUGCAGUCGAGGAUCUUCGGCAAUGCGCGCAAGCGCGACCGAGCGACGCCGCGUGGGCGACGAAGGCCUUCGGGUGUAAAGCCCUGUCGAGGGGGAGAAAGCCGCAAGGCGGAUCCAUCCCUGGAGGAAGCUCGGGCUAAGUUCGUGCCAGCAGCCGC